rnacentral:rRNA from 1 species
GACGAACGCUGGCGGCGUGCUUAACACAUGCAAGUCGAACGGGUCUGCCCUGUUUUUUGCGGGGUGGGUCAGUGGCGAACGGGUGAGUAACACGUGAGUAACCUGCCCCUCACUUCUGGAUAACCGCUUGAAAGGGUGGCUAAUACGGGGUGUUCUGGCUGUGCCGCAUGGUGUGGCUGGGAAAGAUUCACUUUUGUGGUGUUUUGGUGGGGGAUGGGCUCGCGGCCUAUCAGCUUGGUGGUGGGGUGAUGGCCUGCCAAGGCUUUGACGGGUAGCCGGCCUGGGAGGGUGGGCGGUCAAACUGGGACUGAGAUACGGCCCAGACUCCUGCGGGAGGCAGCAGUGGGGGGUAUUGCACAAUGGGCGGAAGCCUGAUGCAGCGACGUCGCGUGAGGGAUGGAGGCCUUCGGGUUGUGAACCUCUUUCGCCGGUGAAGAAGGUCCUGCUCUUUGUGGUGGGGUUGACGGUAGCCGGGUUAUGAAGCGCCGGCUAACUACGUG